rnacentral:rRNA from 1 species
GAUGAACGCUAGCGGGAGGCUUAACACAUGCAAGUCGAGGGGUAUUGUAGCAAUACAUUAGACCGGCGCACGGGUGAGUAACGCGUAUGCAACCUGCCGUUAACCGGGGGAUAGCCCGUCGAAAGGCGGAUUAAUACCCCAUAAUAUUGGGAUUCUGCAUGGGAUUUCAAUUAAAGCUGAGGUGGUUAACGAUGGGCAUGCGUGACAUUAGCUAGUUGGUAGGGUAACGGCCUACCAAGGCUACGAUGUCUAGGGGUUCUGAGAGGAAGGUCCCCCACACUGGUACUGAGACACGGACCAGACUCCUACGGGAGGCAGCAGAGAGGAAGAUUGGUCAACGGGCGAGAGCCUGAACCAGCCAUCCCGCGUGCAGGAAGACGGCCCUAUGGGUUGUAAACUGCUUUUGCGCAUGAAGAAUGUUACCGACGUGUCGGUAAGUGACGGUAAUGCGUGAAUAAGCAUCGGCUAACUCCGUGCCAGCAGCCGCGGUAAAAC